CCUACGGGGGGCUGCAGUGAGGAAUAUUGGUCAAUGGGCGAGAGCCUGAACCAGCCAUGCCGCGUGCAGGAAGACGGCCCUACGGGUUGUAAACUGCUUUUGUGUGGGAAGAAAACGCUCUACGUGUAGAGUACUGACGGUACCAUAUGAAUAAGCAUCGGCUAACUCCGUGCCAGCAGCCGCGGUAAUACGGAGGAUGCGAGCGUUAUCCGGAUUUAUUAGGUUUAAGGCGUGUGUAGACGGCCGUGUAGAAAUCUCAGAGCUUAACUCUGAAACUGCCAUAGAUACUGGUUGUCUUGAGUACAGUUGAAGUAGGCGGAAUGUGUAAUGUAGCGGUGAAAUGCUUAGAUAUUACACAGAACACCGAUUGCGAAGGCAGCUUGCUAAGCUGUUACUGACGCUGAUGCACGAAAGCGUGGGGAGCGAACAGGAUUAGAUACCCGUGUAGUC
rnacentral:rRNA from 1 species